UCAACCAAUCAGAGCAUGUUUCUCUUCCACGUCACACGAUUUGGGCUCUAUUAUGUCGUUUAGCUUUUACUUAUUUGAAUUGGUCUUGGCCCAUAAACCCAAAUGAAGUUAAAGUGGACAUAUCUGUGUGUCGCAUCCAGACUCUUCUCCUCCUUCAUCGUCUCUUCCUUCUUCGAUACUCUCACAGCUUCGACGUUUCAUCUUUCUGAAAUGAUCGUCGAUUAACCCUUUAACUUCAUCUUCUACAAUCAAUCGUCCAUCAAAUCCCCAUUUAUGGCUUCAUUUCAGCUUUCUCCAUUAACGUGUAUAUAUACCUCUUCUGACUACUCCUUCUUCUAAAUCGAUUUUUUCUUCCAAACAAAAAACUCUCAAAGGAUGAGUUCCAACAGCAAUCCCGGCGAUCUGAUGUCCAAGCAAGCAUAUGGCAUUGACGGUGCUAUCUCCACCGUACCAAACAAACAGACCGGCGUUAAGGGUGACUCUUCCGCUAAAGCUAGGGCCGGCUUUCUCGGAAACGACGGUGUUUCCUCCGCCGUACCAGUCAAGCAGACCGGCGGAGGCGGUGACUCCUCCGCCAAAGCUGUCUCCGGCUUUCCUUCGUUGACCAAAGCCAACGGCAAGGCCAUAUGUCCUUCGACGUGCCCAUCAGGCGUUUAGAUCUUUUCUCUCAGGUUCUUCAUACCGGUUAAUAUCCUUCUCACAUUCGUCAUUGUUUCCUUAUCAAACCUCCUUCGCCUACAUCUCCGUGGUCUCAUUGUUGGUUGAUGUGCGGCUGGGAAUCUGGGAAUAUACUAUCCAUCAUAAUUCCAACUGUUUAUAAAGACAAAGGAGGUCUAUUUGAAGAUCCAGAGAAUUGCCACAAAUAUGGAAUGGGUUAUGCUGCACUCUCCAUGGCUGUAAGUAGUCAUCUCACUUCUUCAAGGUUUUAUCGGUGUAUAUUUUAUUUUUGGCAUCAGACAUAAGAUAUACAUAUAUCAUACAGCUAUAUAUACAAUCAAGAUAUAAUAAUUUUCAAUUGAUAUAUUUUGUUUUCAAAAAGAAUUAUAACAAUCUUAGUUGUAAAACAGAUGUAGCUGAGAUUUUGUAACAUACACACAAUUCCCCAAAAUCACCAAGAACCCUUAUUGUUGCGCACCGGAAAGUAGUUGAUCACGAGUAUAUUUCAAUGAAAAUCAUAAACCUUUCUUUCUAUACAAGCAAAUAAAAACCCUUUGAAGACUCUGUUUGCGAAGUUGUAGUCCAGUGCUUUGGCUUGGAGAUUUGGAUUACAGAGUUUCUUUAGCCUAUUAAGAGAUGAGUAUUACUAGAAGACAAUGAUUGUGACACACUUCUUGAGAAAGACCAGGUUUUAUAGUAUAAAUUAUCUUUAUUGAAGACCAGGAUGAGUGUUUCUCUUGAAACUCGGAUUCUCACGCCGGAGAAGCCACAGUCUAAGAAAAAACUAUGUACUCAUGCUUGGGGCUAUCCAAAACUAUAGAAUUAUGUUUUUGUGGUGUGUUUGGAAUGUUUUCAGGCGUGAUCAGAUUCUAUGGAGAGGAGAAGGAAUAGAACUUUCUUAAACUCUAGGAGAAUCACGGUUUUCAGAUCACAGGCCGGUUGUGCAAUAUUUGCAGCAUAAGUUGAUGUGAAGAGUCUGAGAAACAUAGAUUAGGAAAGGUUAUUCAUGUGCGGCUGCAAGAUUGGUUGAAGAUUGCACUCCAAACGCAUAGUUUUAACUAAGUAUAUUACACUUUUUUUGAGAAUAAAAUAUAUGAUUUUCUAAUAGUAAUUUCCUCAUUUGAUAAAAAAAAGUAACUUUCCUCGUUGUGUAUUAUUAUUUUUUGGCAUCACCAUCGUGAUGCAUAUAUAUACAUCAAUGUUAUCAGA